rnacentral:lncRNA from 1 species
AGUGCUACUCCAGACUGCUCAAAACUCGCGUUUGAAUCAUCAGUGGCAGAUUCUUUACAUAUGUAAACGUAAGCUGUUGUCCAUAAUUUGUUACAGACUGUGAGUCAGAACAGCUGGCAUUGUAGUCUUCUCGCUCAGGAUCAUGAUUUCUACUUGUGUCCUCUUUUGGAAGGCCAAACAAAGUAUUUUUGUGAGAAUCAAAGUUACGCCUUCUUUGUGUGCGGUGAAAAUUUGGGUGGUGUUAUGCAAAUCUUGACGAAGACAUGUUGGGCCGUGUUUAUAGGGGUCAUACGAUGCGAUUGAGAAAAAUGUCCUUUCUCUUCGGAGUGUAACAAGCUCUUGGUGCAUGAAGAAGAUCUGUAAAGUUGCAAAGACUGAAGUCUCAAAUCCAAAGAGAUAUUCUUUAUCAAAGUUAAGAGUUUGCCACGCCCCCCAAAACGGUUCAAACAAACACGCCCCCACAUGUCACGAUGUGGAAAUCUUUGUGUAAUGCCGCCCAAAUGAUCAUGUAUAGAAAGAAGGCGUUGUUUCAGUAAGCGCUGUGAGUGUUGAAGCAGCCAUGUCAGGGAGAUGCUGUGUGAUUCUUGGCGAAAGCAAAAGCACUUUAUUUGGCCUUCUGAAAAUAGAUGCAUUUAGGAAUCUUUAAUAUUAUUACAACAGAACAUUAACACAUUUUAUAGAUGACUUUUUCGUGAACCUAGGAGAGGAGGUAAUUCUGACUUUGCUACGACAAUCUGGUACUUCUGAAUCAUCUACUGUGCUGUUGCCGUAAUGGAGCUCAGCAGGGGAGAGGUGCCACUUUAUGGUCAGGUGGAGGUCUUUGUGAAGCUGCAGGUGUCACCGUGUGUUCAGGAAGAAGCUGACUACUAUGUGCUCCUUGUAGGCUCAUCCCUUCACCAUGUCACUACAGCUCACAGGACCACGGAUCAAGGUUCAGUUAGAUUCACUGUGCCCGGCCACGAUGUUCCAGAGAAAGUAUCUGUCGAGAUCUACUGCUGUUUGAGGGGCAGCAGAAGUCCCAUCAGCCCCUUCUGCAAUUCAGGACAGCUCUCUCUGGAGUAUAUCCGGGAUGAGGCACAAGAGGUGGCAGAGCAGCUGAUGAACUUGACAUCCAGCAGCUAUCAGGAUAUCCUACGGAAGUUCUGCCCAGAGAAAAUGCUUUCAUCUGAGACUAACCAUUUAGACCAGACUGGCCAGCAUGGGACAGAUGGGAUUUGUGAUCCAAAGGAAUUAUUUCGUUUGGACUGCCUAGCAGAUCGAGGGCUCAGUGUUUGUGAACAGGGGAAUUUGAGCCAGGGAGAAGCCUCAGGAACAUCAGAGUUUAAUCCAGAGCACAGAUGCACAGUGGGACAACAGAGUGCAGUUGAUGAACAAAUCUCACAGGCCCUGGCUAACAUGCACUUUCUGGGAUGGGACGGCCAAGCUGGACAGAACCUUCAAGCCCCAAAAAAUGGAGAACAAGUGAAAAUGCCUGUACAUGUGGCUAUCAUUUUGGGGUUCCCCCACCUCAGUCACUUCCUCCUCCAGGAGUCUGAAGGUCAGAGGAUGAUUCCCAUCAUCAACAAGGAAGGACAAAGUCCUCUGACACUGGCUCAGAAGCACGGAGACCCGCUCAUCAGCGCUCUAACAGUUAGCAGUGUGUGGAGGCCAGUGUGGAUGUGUCAGAUAUGGACUGACGGCUCUCAUCAGCUCCGUAUCUGCCCAGUCACCGAAUCUGUUUGUCUGACUGUGAGGAACGGAACAUGGAUAGAUGCAGCGCACAGCAUCGAGCUGUACAGAGAGAAGGGCAGAGCUUCGGAUACACUUGCAAGGGACAAUGACCUCAACAUGAAGUACGCUGUUACAAGUGUCACAGAGGACAGUUCUGGGACAGAUAGCGGUGUGUGGCGAAUGUCAGAUAUGGGGGUCUUGUCACCAGGGACUAUAGAUAUGCCUCCAGCUAUUAAAGAUGAUGAAGGUCAGAGAGGAUGGCAGCAUGCUUCCUGUUCUUUCUCUCCCACCUCUCCAGCGGGACUGAUGCUGGAUAGACUCAUACGUGCCACACGACCUGCUGAACUGACAUAUAACAGCUCAAGCUCACCUACAGAGCCAUGUGACCUAAGCCCGAGUCUGGUGGCCUUGGAAAUGGACAGCGAGGAGGAUGAUGAUGAUGAUGACAUUUUAAUGAAGAAGCCCCUCCCCCAGCCACAGCCUGAGCUCAAAAACAGCGUAGAUGAUCGGGUUAUAUCUGGCCCCGCCCCCGAUCUUACCUGCACGCGUUCACACUCCGCCUCCUCACCCUGCAACCCCACCCCUGCAAAGGAUAUUGAGCAGGGCAUCCGUCUCCGUUCGUAUUCCUUCACAUCCCCCAAAAUCAGCCUGCUGCCUCCACGGUUAAGCAGGGAUGCCCAACCUCCACCUACCGACCUCAACCAGGAACAUCGUGCCUGCAGCACAUCAGAGCAGCCUCGAGAGAAAAGGGAGUUAAGGUUUCGUAGGCGUGCUCAGUCGGCUGACGACGAGACCAGUGCAGAGCUGGCCAACUCCCUCCAACACCUCACGCUCUCUGAAUUCCUCAAAGAGAUUGAGGAAGAGGAAUGGGACAAAUACAUCGUCCCUUCCAAAACAGAGUCAGAAAAAUGCAAAGUCAGUCGCACGUUCAGCUUUAUAAAGAGCCGGAUGUAUAGCACUCGCAACAAGAACAAGGGGAGAGGAAAAGAGAGAGAGACCAAAGACAAACAGGUCAAUGGACAUCAGUUCACAGCUGGAUCUGUCCUGGGGUCGACACUUUGUGAGAUCUGCGGCAAGCCAGCUCCUGGGAAAGAGGUCCUCCACUGCACAUACUGUGCAGUUAGCAUCCAUAAGGGCUGUAAGGACUCAUCUGCACCAUGCCUGAAGAAACCUCAAGACAAAUGUUCUGUUAUGACAGUAAAAAGCAGGACAGCCUCCCUCCCUCAGAAUUUUAUAGUGCGUGAAAGUUCCUCCUCGUGGUCUCAGAUGCCAAUCUCCGCCUCUCUUCCUGUGAUGACAUCACGAGACUCUACACCUCUUCUUUGCCCUCUGUCUAGAAGUGUGCCUGCAGUCACAGAAAGGCUUUGCGGUAGCCCAGAAGCAGAUAGUGACGCUCCCCCAUGGCAGAACAAUAUUCAACCAGAGGAGCUCCUCCAAACAUUGGAGUCCUCAACAUCCACUGAUUCUUCUCUUAUUGAAGACUCUGUAGAUUCCCCACUACAGAAUGAGCUGGUAAUGAAUGCUGUGGAUUUGGAGGCGGAGUCAUGGAGUCUAGCGGUAGAGCCCCAGUUCUGUAAGAUGCAAGAAAAACGCAUCGUCAAGAGACAGGAUGUCAUCUACGAGUUCAUGCAGACCGAGCUCCAUCACGUACAGACGCUCGUGAUAAUGGCGGAGGUCUUCAGGCGGGGAAUGCGGGAAGAAGUCGGACUGGAUGCGGACACUAUUGAUCGGAUUUUCCCUUGCUUAGAUGAGCUGCUUCUCCUCCACCGUGACUUCCUUUCAGCGAUGAAGGAACGGCGGCAAAGCUGCAUUCAGCCCAACAGCCGCAAGAACUACCUCAUCCACCAUGUGGGUGACAUCUUUCUGCAACAGUUCUCCCAGGAAAAUGCAGAGAAGAUGAAGCAGGUGUAUGGCGAGUUUUGCAGUCACCACACAGAAGCGGUCAGCUACUUCAAAGAGCUUCAGCAGCAGAAUAAGAGAUUUCAGCUCUUCAUCAGACAACAGAGUAGCAACUCCUUGGUAAAAAGACGAGAAAUCCCAGAAUGCAUCUUGCUAGUGACGCAGAGAAUUACAAAGUAUCCCGUCCUCCUGGAAAGAAUCCUGCAAUAUACAGAGGAGGGCACAGAAGAGCAUGCUGACCUCUCCUGUGCACUAGUCCUGAUCCGAGAGCUGAUCUCCGCUGUGGACCAGUGCGUGAGUCAGUGCGAGCAGAACCAGAAGCUGAGUGAGGUCCUGGGCCGCAUGGAGAACAAGUGCUCAACUAAACUGAAGAGUGGAAACCCCUUCCGCAAGCAGGACAUCACCAGUGGCAGAGCUCUGCUGCACCAGGGCCCUCUGCUCUGGAAGACAGCCACAGGAAGACUGAAAGAUGUUCUGGCGUUUUUGCUGUCUGAUUCAUUGGUGUUCCUUCAGGAGAAAGAUCAGAAAUACAUCUUUGCUGCUGUGGACCAGAAGCCUCCGGUGAUCUCUCUGCAGAAGCUGAUUGUGCGUGAGGUGGCCAAUGAGGAGAGAGGCAUGUUUCUGAUCAGCGCGUCUUCAGCUGGUCCUGAGAUGUAUGAGGUGCACGCUGCUUCUAAAGAUGAACGAAAUGCCUGGAUGAGACUCAUCAGAGAGGCUGUGGAGAGUUGCCCUGAAGAGGAGGAUGAAACCACAAGUGAGUCAGAAGAGGAAAAGAGAGUCACAGAGGCAAAGGUCCAAAAGAUCCACAGGCUAAAAGAAUCUUUGUGUGGCCACGAUCACCUCAUCUGUGCAAAUCUGGAGGAGAAGCUACACAUCUAUCAUAUCAUGGCAGGAGAAAGUGAGACAGGACCAGAGCCCAGACUGCUGGUCCGGCCCAGCACUGAAGACAUCCCUCAGGCUGGAGUACUGCUCAGCGCUGCUCUUAUAGAGGUGGAGAACCUGAAAGCAGCUCUCUCCUCUCACUGUGCUUCAACUGCUGCCAUCCUGUCUUGUCCAGAAGAACAGACCCAACCCGAGCCUUGCUCUCCCUCCUCCCCUCUGUCCCUUGAGCACCAGAGCCCACUGAUGGACCCCCUCCAGAGAGAGGAUGGAGAGGAAUGUUUGGAAACACAGGCCUUUAAUCACAGCUCAGAUGCUGAUCACAAUAUUCACCUAAAGGUAAAUGUUCUCAUAACACAGCCAUUAUUUGCCGCAGUCACCAUCCAAGACAGUUGCUAUGAAGUCCAGAGGCUCCUCCUCUUCCUGUUAGCAAGCCCCUCCCCUCACCAACACUCCCGCCCACUGCCCAUCACUCGCAGCAACCAGACCCUGCAGGAGCAGGAGCGUCAGCGGGAGGUGGAGCGCCGGCGAGAGGAGCUGGCGGAUGUGGCCCGUCUACGGGGCGCCCUGGUACGAGAGCGUCAGCAGUGGGAACGGGAGAGCCAGGUGAGGCAGCUUCAGCAGUCAGACCUGGAGGCAUCACUGGAGCAGAGGGAGGUGGUGUGCCACCUAGAGGAGCGGAGACUACAGAGUGAGCAGCAGGAGCUCCAAGAGCAGCUGCAGGAGUACCAGCAAAGCCUGGAGAGGCUGCAAGAAGGCCAGAGAAGUGUGGAAAAGGAGAAGGAGAAGCUGGAUGCCCAGCGGAGGCUGCUGGACAGUUUGAGGCAGGGCUACCAGCAGAACCUCCCAGCUAUGGUGAUACCACUGGAUGGACAGCAGACACAGGACGCUGGUCACCAUCGCCUGGGUGGUCAGGAUGAGCAUGGAUCCAUUUUUGUGAACGAGGCAGCGUUUAUGUCUCCCUCUCUGAACAACAGGCACACCCAUCUUCAACAUCAUCAUCAGACUGUUCACCUUCACUCAGGAUCUAUAGGAUACUCAGAUUCUCCCAGUGCUCAGAACAGUCUCAAUUCACUCCUGGCCCGAUCCAACCACCGACAGAGCUCUGCUGGAUUAUCUGACGGUCCUGCGGGUCAUGUCCAAGACUCUUGGUCAGCCGGAGUAACAGGGGCAGAGCUUCAUCAAGCCGACGUCCUGCUCGUCAACCAGCCCUUUGUUAACAUAGAGACAGAGAACAGAGAUACUGAUGCGGAGGAGAAUAUUGUGUAUCUCUGA